rnacentral:rRNA from 1 species
UGGGGAAUAUUGCACAAUGGGCGCAAGCCUGAUGCAGCCAUGCCGCGUGUAUGAAGAAGGCCUUCGGGUUGUAAAGUACUUUCAGCGGGGAGGAAGGCGAUAAGGUUAAUAACCUUGUCGAUUGACGUUACCCGCAGAAGAAGCACCGGCUAACUCCGUGCCAGCAGCCGCGGUAAUACGGAGGGUGCAAGAGUUAAUCGGAAUUACUGGGCGUAAAGCGCACGCAGGCGGUCUGUCAAUUCGGAUGUGAAAUCCCCGGGCUCAACCUGGGAACUGCAUUCGAAACUGGCAGGCUAGAGUCUUGUAGAGGGGGGUAGAAUUCCAGGUGUAGCGGUGAAAUGCGUAGAGAUCUGGAGGAAUACCGGUGGCGAAGGCGGCCCCCUGGACAAAGACUGACGCUCAGGUGCGAAAGCGUGGGGAGCAAACA